rnacentral:rRNA from 1 species
UAUCUAGCUUGCUAGAUAUGAUUAGUGGCGGACGGGUGAGUAACAUUUAGGAAUCUGCCUAGUAGUGGGGGAUAGCUCGGGGAAACUCGAAUUAAUACCGCAUACGACCUACGGGUGAAAGGGGGCGCAAGCUCUUGCUAUUAGAUGAGCCUAAAUCAGAUUAGCUAGUUGGUGGGGUAAAGGCCCACCAAGGCGACGAUCUGUAACUGGUCUGAGAGGAUGAUCAGUCACACCGGAACUGAGACACGGUCCGGACUCCUACGGGAGGCAGCAGUGGGGAAUAUUGGACAAUGGGGGCAACCCUGAUCCAGCCAUGCCGCGUGUGUGAAGAAGGCCUUUUGGUUGUAAAGCACUUUAAGCAGGGAGGAGAGGCUAAUGGUUAAUACCCAUUAGAUUAGACGUUACCUGCAGAAUAAGCACCGGCUAACUCUGUGCCAGCAGCCGCGGUAAUACAGAGGGUGCGAGCGUUAAUCGGAAUUACUGGGCGUAAAGCGAGUGUAGGUGGCUCAUUAAGUCACAUGUGAAAUCCCCGGGCUUAACCUGGGAACUGCAUGUGAUACUGGUGGUGCUAGAAUAUGUGAGAGGGAAGUAGAAUUCCAGGUGUAGCGGUGAAAUGCGUAGAGAUCUGGAGGAAUACCGAUGGCGAAGGCAGCUUCCUGGCAUAAUAUUGACACUGAGAUUCGAAAGCGUGGGUAGCAAACAGG